GAUGAACGCUGGCGGCGUGCCUAACACAUGCAAGUCGAGCGAAAACACGGGGAGAGUUUGCUCUUGAGGGUGGCGGGGGACGGGCGAGUGACACGUGGAUAGGCUACCUCUUUGACGGGGGGAAUAACGGGAGAACAGUUCUACUACCGGCGAAUAUAUCGUACGGGAUAGAGCAAGAGUUCUUGACGCUUUUCGUGAUUGUAAGAGCCGAUGCCGGGUCGGAUUAGCUAGUUGGUAAGGUAACGGCUUACCAAGGCGACGAUGCGUAGCUGACCUGAGAUGGUGAUCAGCCACACUGGAACUGAGACACGGUCCAGACUCCUACGGGAGGCAGCAGUGGGGAAUCUUGCGCAAUGGGCGAAAGCCUGAUGGAGCAACACCGCGUGAGUGAUGAAGGUCUUCGGAUCGUAAAGCUCUGUUGUUAGGAAAGAACAAAAGUGUAUGUAACCAUGCACGUCUUGACGGUACCUAAAGAAUAAGCCCCGGCUAACUACGUG
rnacentral:rRNA from 1 species